UUCACUUACUUCCCAGCUCCCCCACCAAUCACUAAUGUGCUGUUCAACUGUAGAUUUAUCUUCUCUAGACACUUUAUAUAACUGGAGUCAGACAAUAAGGGUAUGUUGGCUUCUGGAUUCUUUCACUUAGUUCAGUAUUUUUGAGAUUAGUGUUACAGCUUGCAUUAGUACCUCCUUUUAUUGCCAAACAGUAUUCUGCUGGAUGGACAUACCACAUUUACUUAUCCUUGAACCAUUUGAUGGACAUCUGGAUUUUUCCAAGUUUCUGAGAUUUAGCCAAAUGUAUGUUCUCUUAUAUGAUCUUAAAAGUUCUGAAUAUGGGAUAGUUGAUUUGUACAAUGUCUCUCUUUUUGGACUUGUCUGCCAGACUUGUUCUUUAUCUCUUAGUUAAUAGAUUUGUUGUUUCUUCCUUUUUUUUUGAGACAGGGUCUCACUAUGUGCCUAUGCUAGCCUUGAACUUACUAUCCUAUUAAUGUUAGAUUACAGGUGUGGGCCACUUUGCCUGCUUUAUUAAUAGAUAUAUUGUGGGUAGGUAUAGAUAUUCCAUUCUUUAUCAUACUGUCAGUUUAUUUAUAUUAAUAUGGACUUGAGUUUAUAUUCUAGGGAACUAUGUUGUACUUACUAUUAUUGUAUAAAGACCAUGCCAAAACUUAGUGGAGAGCAUUUUAUUAAGAAGGCUCACUAGUUCUGCGGGUCAGGAAUUUAGACAGGGAGUGGGGAAAGGACUCAUCCUGUGCAGUGUGGGGAGGCCUGGGAGGCACUAGUGACCUUGAAGUUAGGCCAGAACCUUCCAGAGGUGGUGUCACUGUGCUGGUGGGUGUGGAACCCUGAAUCUCUGUUGGGUUCAUGCGUGUAGACAUGGUGGCUGGAUUCCAUAUGUGGUGUUGAGAGCAAAAGGUGUGACAUUUUCAUGAUCUAGUCUUGGGGUUCGUUCUCAUGGCACUGCACUCUCCAUACUUGGUUGAUUUAGGUAGCCAUAAAAGUUCUGCCUAGCAUUUGGGAGGAGCAUUAGCUUUCUGUGAAAUAGGUACAUGUAUCUUUGGAAAGUUUUGUGCUUCAGGCCAUGAUCUGUUACUGUCAUUUACUUGGUGCCAGUGUCCUAUAUUGGCCUGUGGAACCUCCAAGCUGGUUUCUUCUGUGUUCUGUGAAUGACUCAUCAUUCUCUGAGCAACUGUCUUAUUUUUUGGCACAGGAUGGUUAGGCUCAUCUUGUCUUUGCCUUGCUCUAGCCCUAGAAUUGGCUGUUUCCCAAGGAGCCCUAGUUCUUAACAGAAAGUAGUAUUUAGAAAUGAAGAUUGGGGCCCUAGGUAGGCCCACUGCUGCCAGGGUGUGUGACUUCUGACAGUUUCUCUUUGGACAGAGUUGUGGAUUGGACAGAGUUGUGGAAUAUAAACAUCUGUGUGCAUACACUCUCACAGUGUGUUGAUUUUUAUCUGUGUUGAUGAGGUCACAUCAGUGCUUCCUAGUCUGAUUGAGUACCAUAGUGUUUAAUUCUGUGCCUUUUCAGAUAUUUAAAAAAUAGGUUUAUUGCAAUAGUGUACAUAGUACAUACUGUACAGAUGACCCAUUCUUAUGUAUGUAUGUAUUUGAUUUUUUGAGACAGCCUCAUAGCCCAGACUGGCCUGGAACCUGCUGUGUAGCCCAAGCUGGCUUCGAACUUGCGAUCCUCCUGCCUCCUGGUGUUGGGAUUACAGGCCUGUACCACCUUUCCCUGUUCAAUUCACCUUGAAUUCACGAUCCUCCUUUCUCAGUGUUCCACCUUCUAAGAUUACAGGCAUGUGCCACCAUGUAUGCUCACAGUUGAUUUUUGAACAUUGUCAUUGUUCCAAAAAGAGGCCAGUUCUCCCCAGCCUCAGGCAAACCCCUGUUGUAUUUUCUGUCUAUAAAUAGAUCUGUUUGUACACUUCAUGUAAGUGGAAUCAUACACAUAUGGUCCUUUGCGUCUGGCCUCUCCUAACUCAGCAGAAUGUUUCUAAGGUUCAUCCACAUUUUCUAGCGUGUAUCCAUGCUUUGUUUCUUUCUGUGGCUCCAAAUAUGGGUGUAUGCAUUUUAUGUGUCCUGUCAUCACUUGAUGGAGAUUUGGUCAUUGUGAGUAAUGCUGCCCCAAACACCCUUGUCCAAGUUUUUGUGUAGAUAGGUGUUUUUUAUUUCUUGCCAGUAAAAUUUCUGAUUCAAGUGGUUCUUACAUGCUUAGUCUUUUGAGGGACUUCCAGACUUUUCCAAACUGGUUAUAGUGUGUGCCUUUCUAUUAGCAAGACAUGAGAGUUACAGUUUUUCCACACUCUUGCCAAUACAUGUUGUUUUCCUUAUUUAAAAAGUGUAGACAUUCUACUAUAUAGCAUCUCACUGUGAUUUUGAUUUGUAUUUCCCAUGGCUGAUGAUAUUGAGCAUCCUUUCAUGUGCUUAAUGUCUGUAUAUUUGCUUUGGCAAAAUAAUUGUAGAUCCUUUGUCCAUUUUAAAAUUGGGUUACUUGCCUUUUAGUUAUUGAGUUAACAAGAUUUCUUCAUAUAUUGUGGAUACAAAUUCUUUAUCAGAAAUAUGAUUUGAAAAUGUUUUCCCAUUUUGUGGAAUUUUUGCCUUUUUGAUGGUAGCCUUGGAGGUAUUAAAGUUUUUAAUCUUGUUGAAGUCUAAGUUACUUUUUUCUUCUGUUGCUCAUUCUUUUUGGUGUCUUAUAUAUUGCCAAAUUCAAAGCCAUGACAAUCGUUCUCUCACAGAAGUCUUAUAGUUUAGCUCAUAUUUACAUGUAGAUGUCUGAUCUGCAUUUGCAUGUGUGCUAUAAGGAAGGAGUCCAGUCUCAUUCUUUUGCAUGUGGUUAUCCAGUUUUCCCAGCAUCAUUUGUUGAAAAUUAUAUUCCACUCCUAUUGUUUUACCAGCCCUCAUGUUUUCACAUUUACAUAUUUACAUAAAAUACGUGUUAUAGUUUUGUUUUCUCUUUUAAGGAAAAUUUCAAAAAUGUUUCAAAUUCCUGUGGAAAAUCUUGACAGUAUCAGAAAGGUGCGGAAGAGGGUGAAAGGCAUUCUUGUGGAUAUUGGACUUGACAGCUGCAAGGAGUUGCUGAAGGAUCUGAAAGACUUUGAUCCAGGAGAGAAGUACUUUUAUAACACAUCAUGGGGAGAUGUUUGUCUCUGGGAAUCUUCUGGAAAGAAAAUGAGGUACAGAACAAAGCCAUACUGUUGUAGCCUCUGCAAGU